rnacentral:rRNA from 1 species
GGAUUAGAAACCCUGGUAGUCCACGCCGUAAACGAUGAGUGUUAGGUGUCUGGAGUAAAUCUGGGUGCCGCAGCUAACGCAAUAAACACUCCGCCCGGGGAGUACGCACGCAAGUGUGAAACUCAAAGGAAUUGACGGGGACCCGCACAAGCAGCGGAGCAUGUGGUUUAAUUCGAAGCAACGCGAAGAACCUUACCAAGUCUUGACAUAUUACGGCGUGUUUUAGAGAUAAGACACUAUAUCUUCGGAUAACUGUAAUACAGGUGGUGCAUGGUUGUCGUCAGCUCGUGUCGUGAGAUGUUGGGUUAAGUCCCAUAACGAGCGCAACCCCUAUGGCUAGUUACCAUCAUUAAGUUGGGGACUCUAGCAAUACUGCCGGUGACAAACCGGAGGA